CCAUAUUAUCGUAGUCAGAGCAUCGUAUUUACUGGUUUCUGACCCAUAACAAUUGUCAAGAAACACCAAUAAAUAAGCAUUUUAUCGAUAAUCUUAUAUGAGGCCAGUUUUAGGGGUGAAAAAGACAGUUUUUAGGUCGUAAAUCGACAAUCAUAAGAGGAUGAGUACAACAAUCUCGUAACGGAGCGGGCCCGGGCCCGGGGCUGGUCAUCUUCAAAACAACGGCCUGGCGGCUGCCUCAGCCUGCCUGGCAGGACCGCCGCUUUCCAAGAAAACUCUCUCAUCUCAACAAAAGAUUGCACGUUCUUGUGUGAGAGGGGUGCUGACCUCCCAAGACACAGUGAGGCGCAUUCUUAGGUAUGCUGUGACAAACUCCUUGGCUAUGCAGUACAACUGGUGUGGCAAAGGAGAGAAACAGAGCUUUGGCAUCUUGAAGUUGAAGGACACCAUUGUCAAAAGUGUGCGCAAGCAUCCAGACUACAGGCAUUCAACAGCAGCCUCUGUCGAAAUCAUUACACAGGGUCAUUGAUAUGGCUUCGGCGCGACGGUCAUGCAGGAAUAAUCCUGACGUUUUCUGCUACAUCUGCGGAGAAUACACGCUGUCAGUGGACAGGAAGAACAUCACAGGAUUUGUGAAGCGCGCCUACCAGGCUUACUUUGAAGUCAAGCUGGGUGACCAAGAUAAGUCCUGGGCACCGCACACGGUGUGCAAGACGUGCGUGGAA